rnacentral:rRNA from 1 species
GUGCCAGCAGCCGCGGUAAUACGUAGGUGGCAAGCGUUGUCCGGAAUUAUUGGGCGUAAAGCGCGCGCAGGCGGUCUCUUAAGUCUGAUGUGAAAGCCCACGGCUCAACCGUGGAGGGUCAUUGGAAACUGGGGGACUUGAGUACAGAAGAGGAGAGUGGAAUUCCACGUGUAGCGGUGAAAUGCGUAGAGAUGUGGAGGAACACCAGUGGCGAAGGCGGCUCUCUGGUCUGUAACUGACGCUGAGGCGCGAAAGCGUGGGGAGCAAACAGGAUUAGAUACCCUGGUAGCCC